CUCAUUACUGCCUUGCAGUUUGAUCUCAGACUGCUGUGCUAGCAAUCAGCGAGACUCCCUGGGCGUAGGACCCUCCGAGCCAGGUGUGGGAAAUAAUCUCCUGGUGCACCGUUUCCUAAGCCCGUCGGAAAAGCGCAGUAUUUGGGUGGGAGUGGCCCGAUUUUCCAGGUGCCCUCCUUUCCUUGACCAGGAAAGGGAACUCCCUGACCCCUUACGCUUCCCAAGUGAGGCAAUGCCUCGCCCUGCUUCGGCUGGCGCACGGUGCCCUGCACCCACUGUCUGGCACUCCCUAGUGAGAUGAACCCGGUACCUCAGAUGGAAAUGCAGAAAUCACCCAUCUUCUGCGUGGCUCAUGCUGGGAGCUGUAGACCAGAGCUGUUCCUAUUCAGCCAUCUUGGCUCCCGGAUCCAGUUUAACUUUUGCAGAGAGACAAGAUCUCUCUCCAUUGCCAACACUGGUCUCAAACUCCUGGCCUCAAGCAAUCAUCCAACCUCAGCCUUCUGAGUACCGGGAUUACAAGUGCGAGCCACUGUGCCCAGCUCCUGUUUCUACUUUCUUAAGGCAAACCACUUCAAUAGAACAUGGCUGGCGGCCAUAUGGACAUAUUUGAAUCCAACAAUUAAUUCAGCAAAGAAAGCUGCUUGUGGCAAGUUUUGAAUGUGCCAUUCCAGGUAGUGCUUUGAUGAUAAAUGAGGAGAAGAUUGCAAAGAAAAUGACAGCAACAUUUAUAAAAGGAGAAGAAAACUGAGGCAUAGAACAUUUGGGAAUGAAUCUAAGACUACACAUCUAGAAUAGCAGAGUUACAGGAAUGCAGAUGUGAUUCCUAUGGAUGAGGGUAACCUAGAGGCUAGAAGAACAAUAGGACAGAAGAAGCCUGGGUCCCUGAACAACCUUGUGGAGCAUAGACACCUACGUGGCCUGGACUGCCAGCUCACAAUGGGCCUCUCUGUGAGAGAAGGAAACUUCCCUCUUGUUUAAGCAACUGUGCUUUUGAGAAUCUCUUGGUCUAUACCCUAAUGAAUAAGGCCAUCAUAAAUGGAUAUCAAAGUAAGGAAAUUUGUGUAAAUGAUUUAAUAAAACAUUACCUCAGGUAUGAAAUAAUUCUACCUUGUGCCUUGACAACAUCAGGUAUUAUUCAUGCCCUUUUCUCUCCCUGUAAUGUCUCUUAUCCACGGGUAGAAAUUAUAUUUUCCAUCUAAGGUUUGCUCAAAUAUUAUCUACUUAAGUAGCUCUUACCAAUUUUGCCUCUCCUCCUGAGCUGACCCUAUGCCUUCUAUGCUGUUCCAGGUAAUAUUAAUCUCUUCCUUUGUACUUCUUUCACAGAACAUACUUUUUUGUCUAACAUAAUAACUAUAGGCAUAAGUGUAUAGAUUCCACUAGGGGCUUCAGAACAGAAACUAUCAUCUUAUUAAUUUUUUUCUCCCUGAUAUCUAGGGAAAUAUGUUAUAUAUAAUAGGCCCUUAGUAAUCCCAUAAAUGUUUGUGAGAUAUUCACUGACUAUAAGCCAUACUCUGUAUUUAUUUAGCUAAAACAGACGUCUUUCAUAUUUAGUUAGCAGAAAAUGCUCACAUUUACUCCUUUCCUGUUUACCAAAUGAAAGGGUAAUUGUUUUUUCACAGAUUGCACUAGAAAAGUGUCUUCUCUCUCUUUUUCAAAUAGAUUGUCUUUAAAACAUAUGACAGGAAAAGUGACUAUUGUUAGGAUAAGAUAAUUACGAUUGUAACAGCUAGUUUAAAAGAAGUGUCAGUUGCUCCUGUUUUAUUUUUCACAGGAUAGAGCUGCGGCCUGUCUCAGUAUGAUGUUUUCAGGAUCUGGUAUAUAUUUUUAUUUUCCUACAUGAAUCUUUCAUCCUUUUACUGACAUUUAUUCAUUUUAUCUAAUUAUCCUAAAAGGAAAGCUCUGGCCAGGCAAAUUGGUUGUUGUCUGCCUCUGAAGAGACAUUCAUAUCGCGUCGCUUAGCUUUCAAGUUUUGUGAUCAGGAACCCUCAGGCCCAUUUUUAAGGAGGUUUCAGGCUAGCUGAGCUUCACUGUCUCCCAAAAUGUACAAAAUGAGAUUACAUGAGGGACAAGAUCAAUUUACUGGAAGGUACUUAAGCAGUAAAUCUGGAGCUUUUUGUCCAGUCACUAUUGCUUUCAAGCUUUGUAGCAGAAAAUUAAGCCACAAGAGCUUUGACAAAUUAGAUAUUACUACCUCUAAUUGUGUAUGUUUAAGCUUAUCACACUGAAUUGCAGCAUUGUAACUGACUAUUAUGCCAACAAGGCCUUCGUUUAAUCAGCGCAGUGCCAUUUAAUCGCAAUUAAUCACUCAACUAAAAUGUCAUAUUAAGGUCACAGAAACUUGAAGGGCUAAAAGAAAAGAGAACAUUAAAGUCAGCUGAUGGAGGAAAAGAGCAUGGUGUGCCAAGGGAAGUUCUGAGCACUCUUUUUCAUUAGAAGCUGGUAGAACAUUUAAUGAGAAUUCAGUCUUAACUUUCAGCUGAGAUCAGAACAACGUGCC
rnacentral:lncRNA from 10 species